rnacentral:rRNA from 1 species
AAAGCUGGCGUCUUCGGCGUCCGCAUUGUAAUCUCAAGAAGUGUUUUCCGCUUCGGACCAUGCCUAAGUCCCUUGGAAAAGGGCAUCAUAGAGGGUGAUAAUCCCGUACAUGGCAUGGAGCGCCCGAAGCUUUGUGAUACGCUUUCUAAGAGUCGAGUUGUUUGGGAAUGCAGCUCAAAAUGGGUGGUAAAUGCCAUCUAAGGCUAAAUAUUGGGGAGAGACCGAUAGCGAACAAGUACAGUGAUGGAAAGAUGAAAAGAACUUUGAAAAGAGAGUUAAACAGUACGUGAAAUUGCCAAAAGGGAAGGGUAGGAGGUCAGAGAUGCGGCCUGGGAUUCAGCCUUGCUUUUGCUUGGUGUUUUUCCCAGAUUGCAGGCCAACGUCGGUUUUGGGCACUGGAGAAGGGUAGGAGGAACGUGGCACCUCUCGGGGUGUGUUAUAGCCUCCUACUGGAUACAGCGACCGAGACCGAGGACAGCAGCGUACUCGCAAGAGCGGGCCUUCGGGCACCUUUACGCUUAGGGCGUUGGCAUAAUGGCCCUCUACCACCCGUCUG